UACGUAGGGUGCAAGCGUUGUCCGGAAUUAUUGGGCGUAAAGAGCUCGUAGGCGGUCUGUCGCGUCGGCUGUGAAAACUCGGGCUCAACUCCGAGCUUGCAGUCGAUACGGGCAGGCUAGAGUUCGGCAGGGGAGACUGGAAUUCCUGGUGUAGCGGUGAAAUGCGCAGAUAUCAGGAGGAACACCGGUGGCGAAGGCGGGUCUCUGGGCCGAUACUGACACUGAGGAGCGAAAGCGUGGGGAGCGAACAGG
rnacentral:rRNA from 1 species